rnacentral:rRNA from 1 species
GACGAACGCUGGCGGCGUGCUUAACACAUGCAAGUCGAACGGAAAGGCCCUGCUUUUGUUGGGUGCUCGAGUGGCGAACGGGUGAGUAACACGUGAGUAACCUGCCCUUGACUUUGGGAUCACUUCAGGAAACUGGGGCUAAUACCGGAUAGGAGCUCCUGCUGCGUGGUGGGGGUUGGAAAGUUUCGGCGGUUGGGGAUGGACUCGCGGCUUAUCAGCUUGUUGGUGGGGUAGUGGCUUACCAAGGCUUUGAGGGGUAGCCGGCCUGGGAGGGUGACCGGCCAAAUUGGUACUGAGAUGCGGCCCAGAGUCCUACGGGCGGCAGCAGGAGGGAGUCUUGCAGAAUGGGCGGAAGCCUGAUGCAGCAACGCCGCGUGCGGGAUGACGGCCUUCGGGUUGUAAACCGCUUUCGCCUGUGACGAAGCGUGAGUGACGGUAAUGGGUAAAAAAGCACCGGCUAACUACGUG